rnacentral:rRNA from 1 species
AUUGAACGCUGGCGGCAGGCCUAACACAUGCAAGUCGAGCGGAUGAAGGGAGCUUGCUCCUGGCUUCAGCGGCGGACGGGUGAGUAAUGCCUAGGAAUCUGCCUGGUAGUGGGGGAUAACGUCCGGACACGGGCGCUAAUACCGCAUACGUCCUGAGGGAGAAAGGGGGGGAUCUUCAGACCUCACGCUAUCAGAUGAGACUAGGUCGGAUUAGCUAGUUGGUGGGGUAAAGGCCUACCAAGGCGACGAUCCGUAACUGGUCUGAGAGGAUGAUCAGUCACACUGGAACUGAGACACGGUCCAGACUCCUACGGGAGGCAGCAGUGGGGAAUAUUGGACAAUGGGCGAAAGCCUGAUCCAGCCAUGCCGCGUGUGUGAAGAAGGUCUUCGGAUUGUAAAGCACUUUAAGUUGGGAGGAAGGGCAGUAAGUGAAUACCUUGCUGUUUUGACGUUACCAACAGAAUAAGCACCGGCUAACUUCGUG